rnacentral:rRNA from 1 species
CCAUNGAGCNUNCCCCCCCCGNNNGGUUGCACCCCCUAGCGUGUGUCACGCUCCUUCAAAGAGUCGAGUAGUUUGGGAAUGCUGCUCUAAGCGGGAGGUAAAUUCCUUCUANAGCUAAAUAUUGGCCAGAGACCGAUAGCGCACAAGUAGAGCGAUCGAAAGAUGAAAAGCACCUUGGAAAGAGGGCUAAACAGUACGUGAAAUUGCUGAAAGGGAAGCGCUUGCGACCAGACUCGGGCCGGGCGGAUCAUCCAGCGUUCUCGCUGGUGCACUCCGACUCGGCCUGGGCCAGCAUCGAUUUGUGCCGAAGGAUAAAAGCGGCGGGAAUGUAGCUCUCUACGGGGAGUGUUAUAGCCUUCAGUUUAAUGCUUCGGUGCGGAUCGAGGACCGCGCACUUGUGCGAGGAUGCUGGCUUAAUGGUCUCCAGCGACCCGUCUUGAAACACGGACCAAGGAGUCGAACAUUUGUGCGAGUGUGUGGGUGACUAAACCCNNACGCGUAAUAAAGUGAACGNAGGUGGGAGCCGCAAGGCGCACCAUCGACCGAUC